UUGUGUGCGUGGUUGUGUGUGGGUGUGUUUGUGAAUGUGUGUGUGCGUUUGUGUGCAUGGUUGUGUGUGCGUGUGUGUGUGCAUGCGUUUCAGAGGCGCCACACCAUGAUCCUCUGUGUCAGUGAUACGAAGGCACCCGAUCAGCCGCCCUCCUUCCCCCACGGAGCAGACAGCUGUUCAGCAGCUGUGCACAAGUGUGAGGGGCGCGUGUGUCGGUGUGUGGCAGGACGUGGAGGACAGAACGGCAGCUCUGUAACUCACGCUCACCUCUGACCCUCCUCAGCGCCUCUGCUGAGGUUUGCUGACGCAGCGACAAACAGGCGAAGAGGCAGCAGGAAGACGAGGGCGGAGCAGCUGAAACGGCUGUUUUUACGUGUCCACCAACCGCUGAUGUCACGGAGGGAAAGAGAGGGCGUUUAGAAACGAGCAGAAUGACUGAGCUCCAGAACCUGAUGUUCGAUGGUUCGUCACACAUCAGCAGAGGGACGUUGGCAUCGGCGCUUGUUCGGUUCCACGUUGACGUGAAACAGCUGCAGUCUGACGUCGACCAGCAUCAACCUGUGCUUUAAAUGACUGAGCCACGGCCUUCACCGUGACUCAGACCUGAGGGCUGAUCCCAGAGCAGCUGAGGAGGCGGCUGAUGCCCACACAAACAGGCGACAGUGGACUGCUUUAAAUCUGCUGUUUAUUUGGAACCCUCCUCCAAAUCACAUCUGUAAUUUUUCCAUUUCACAAAAUAUUUACAAAAAAAAGAUAAGUUUUGUUGUUGUUUUUUUAAUCUGUCUCCCGUCGACCGUAACAGAGUUAGAGUUCGAAUCAAUGCUUACAACCUGCAGUCCAGUCUGUCUUAGAAAAGGUUAAUGCAAAAACUUCCCACUCGUCUUUUCUUUCAUACACUCAUUCUAAAACUGCCCAGUUCCCCCGACCGCCGUUCUCCUUUUUGAGUGCUUUAAAAAACCCAACUCGUCCCCGCGUGCGUUCAGCUGCAAACAGGAAGCUGAGAGCUCAUGUGCUUUAUUGAGAGGAAGUGACAUCUUUGCCCUGCAGGAAGUACAACUCCAGCAUCAUCAGAUCCUCCAGAUGCUCCACUGGUUUGUCUUUUUGUCUCCAACACAAGAGUCUGUCGGGAGAAGAAGGAACCUACACAUGUACCAAAUAACAAAGUCAGAAUAAUUACUAAACGGAAACGCUCUUUUCCAGGUGAACAUUUCCGGUCCUAAGGAAACCUGUGGGUCAGCGUCUGUAGUCCAGGCAUAAAGGCGUCCACAAGUGCAUUGUGGGUAUUCCAUGGAAGAGCAUUUUGUGUUCAAGCCGUACAAUCCAUCCCUGAACGUAGCGAAGAACGGAAGAAGUGCCAUGAUGCUAGAAAUCAAGAGACACAAAGAGGCCGGAGCCUCUUUUUUUUUUUUUUAAAGAU